rnacentral:rRNA from 1 species
GACGAACGCUGGCGGCGUGCCUAAUACAUGCAAGUUGAGCGCUGAAGGUUGGUACUUGUACCAACUGGAUGAGCAGCGAACGGGUGAGUAACGCGUGGGGAAUCUGCCUUUGAGCGGGGGACAACAUUUGGAAACGAAUGCUAAUACCGCAUAAAAACUUUAAACACAAGUUUUAAGUUUGAAAGAUGCAAUUGCAUCACUCAAAGAUGAUCCCGCGUUGUAUUAGCUAGUUGGUGAGGUAAAGGCUCACCAAGGCGAUGAUACAUAGCCGACCUGAGAGGGUGAUCGGCCACAUUGGGACUGAGACACGGCCCAAACUCCUACGGGAGGCAGCAGUAGGGAAUCUUCGGCAAUGGACGAAAGUCUGACCGAGCAACGCCGCGUGAGUGAAGAAGGGUGUCGGAUCGUGAAACUCUGUUGGUAGAGAAGAACGUUGGUGAGAGUGGAAAGCUCAUCAAGUGACGGUAACUACCCAGAAAGGGACGGCUAACUACGUG